CGUGUAGGCGGUUUGCUAAGUCUGGUGUGAAAGCCCGGGGCUUAACCCCGGAAGUGCACUGGAUACUGGUUUACUAGAGGACGGGAGGGGGAAGCGGAAUUCCUGGUGUAGGGGUGAAAUCCGUAGAUAUCAGGAGGAACAUCAGAGGCGAAGGCGGCUUCCUGGCCCGUAACUGACGCUGAGACGCGAAAGCGUGGGGAGCAAACA
rnacentral:rRNA from 1 species